UACGGAGGGUGCAAGCGUUAUCCGGAUUCACUGGGUUUAAAGGGUGCGUAGGCGGCUAGGUAAGUCCGUGGUGAAAUCCUGCAGCUUAACUGCAGAACUGCCAUGGAUACUAUUUAUCUUGAAUGUCGUGGAGGUUAGCAGAAUAUGUCAUGUAGCGGUGAAAUGCUUAGAUAUGACAUAGAAUACCCAUUGCGAAGGCAGCUAACUACGCGAUAAUUUACGCUGAUGCACGAAAGCGUGGGGAUCAAACAGG
rnacentral:rRNA from 1 species